CGAACGGGUGAGUAACGCGUGAGGAACCUGCCUCAAAGAGGGGGACAACAGUUGGAAACGACUGCUAAUACCGCAUAAGCCCACGGCUCGGCAUCGAGCAGAGGGAAAAGGAGCAAUCCGCUUUGAGAUGGCCUCGCGCCGAUUAGCUAGUGGUGAGGUAACGGCCCACCAAGGCGACGAUCGGUAGCCGGACUGGGAGGUUGAACGGCCACAUUGGGACUGAGACACGGCCCAG
rnacentral:rRNA from 1 species